rfam:Triticum aestivum genome assembly, contig: Triticum_aestivum_CS42_TGACv1_scaffold_251773_3DL
UAAGUACUUCCUUCGUCCGGAAAUACUUAUCGGAGAAAUAAAUGUAUCUAGACAUACAUAUUUAGGUUCUGGAUACAUUUAUUUUUUAUUCAUUUAUCCGACAAGUAUUUCUAGACGCAGGGAGUACGAA